rnacentral:lncRNA from 1 species
CAAAAUCCAUCUUUUAUCUAUAUUUUGCUAAAGUUCUUUUACUUUUUAAACAGAUUUUCAAACCGCCUGACUAAGUCAUCAUUACCAGUUUUGGCCUAACUUUGUUUCAAGAGUUGGUGCAUGCUGGAGGUGAUCCUAUGCUAGGAGAGGGGCUGCCAAGUUGAAGCUGACAGUGGCUAUUGCCUAACCUCUUUUUUUCUUCUAAACAAAUAGUCUUGUUCAAUAGCAGGAGGAUUCAA